CCUAACACAUGCAASUCGAGCGGUAACAUUUCUAGCUUGCUAGAAGAUGACGAGCGGCGGACGGGUGAGUAAUGCUUGGGAACAUGCCUUUAGGUGGGGGACAACCAUUGGAAACGAUGGCUAAUACCGCAUAAUGUCUACGGACCAAAGGGGGCUUCGGCUCUCGCCUUUAGAUUGGCCCAAGUGGGAUUAGCUAGUUGGUGAGGUAAUGGCUCACCAAGGCGACGAUCCCUAGCUGGUUUGAGAGGAUGAUCAGCCACACUGGAACUGAGACACGGUCCAGACUCCUACGGGAGGCAGCAGUGGGGAAUAUUGCACAAUGGGCGCAAGCCUGAUGCAGCCAUGCCGCGUGUGUGAAGAAGGCCUUCGGGUUGUAAAGCACUUUCAGUUGUGAGGAAAGGUUAGUAGUUAAUACCUGCUAGCUGUGACGUUAGCAACAGAAGAAGCACCGGCUAACUCCGUGCCAGCAGCCGCGGUAAUACGGAGGGUGCGAGCGUUAAUCGGAAUUACUGGGCGUAAAGCGUACGCAGGCGGUUUGUUAAGCGAGAUGUGAAAGCCCCGGGCUCAACCUGGGAACUGCAUUUCGAACUGGCAAACUAGAGUGUGAUAGAGGGUGGUA
rnacentral:rRNA from 1 species